rnacentral:rRNA from 1 species
GAUGAACGCUAGCUACAGGCCUAACACAUGCAAGUCGAGGGGCAGCAUGGCGGUUGCUUGCAACCGCUGAUGGCGACCGGCGCACGGGUGCGUAACGCGUAUCGAACCUGCCCCUUACCCGGGGAUAGUCUUGCGAAAGCAAGUUUAAUAUCCGAUAGUAUCAUAUUGGCGCAUGCCUUUAUGAUUAAAGAUUCAUCGGUAAUGGAUGGCGAUGGGUCAGAUUAGGUAGCAGGCGGGGUAACGGCCCACCUGGCCAACGAUCGGUAGGGGUUCUGAGAGGAAGGUCCCCCACACUGGAACUGAGACACGGUCCAGACUCCUACGGGAGGCAGCAGUGAGGAAUAUUGGUCAAUGGUCGCUAGACUGAACCAGCCAAGUAGCGUGCGGGACGAAGGCCCUCCGGGUCGUAAACCGCUUUUAGACGGGGAUAAAAGGUCGCACGUGUGCGGCGUAUUGCAUGUACCGUCAGAAAAAGGACCGGCUAAUUCCGUGCCAGCCGCCGCAGUAA